GAUGAACGCUGGCGGCGUGCCUAAUACAUGCAAGUCGAGCGAACUGAUUAGAAGCUUGCUUCUAUGACGUUAGCGGCGGACGGGUGAGUAACACGUGGGCAACCUGCCUGUAAGACUGGGAUAACUUCGGGAAACCGAAGCUAAUACCGGAUAGGAUCUUCUCCUUCAUGGGAGAUGAUUGAAAGAUGGUUUCGGCUAUCACUUACAGAUGGGCCCGCGGUGCAUUAGCUAGUUGGUGAGGUAACGGCUCACCAAGGCAACGAUGCAUAGCCGACCUGAGAGGGUGAUCGGCCACACUGGGACUGAGACACGGCCCAGACUCCUACGGGAGGCAGCAGUAGGGAAUCUUCCGCAAUGGACGAAAGUCUGACGGAGCAACGCCGCGUGAGUGAUGAAGGCUUUCGGGUCGUAAAACUCUGUUGUUAGGGAAGAACAAGUACGAGAGUAACUGCUCGUACCUUGACGGUACCUAACCAGAAAGCCACGGCUAACUACGUGCCAGCAGCCGCGGUAAUACGUAGGUGGCAAGCGUUAUCCGGAAUUAUUGGGCGUAAAGCGCGCGCAGGCGGUUUCUUAAGUCUGAUGUGAAAGCCCACGGCUCAACCGUGGAGGGUCAUUGGAAACUGGGGAACUUGAGUGC
rnacentral:rRNA from 3 species